rnacentral:lncRNA from 1 species
UUUUCGGUUAAGUCUUCUUGUUUUAUCCUGCUUUGUAUUUACCAUGCUAAUGUCACUACCUUAUGCUUAACUAAUUUUAAUGUUAGAACAAAUACAAAUUGGCUAGACACAAAUAUUUUGCAUUUAUGGCUGCUUUUUCUUAGCACAUGAAACUUAUACUUGUUGAAAAAUAUAGUACAUGUUAGCCAUGGUUCUAAGCUAAAGAUACAACCACCCGUGGUCU